GACGAACGCUGGCGGCGUGCUUAACACAUGCAAGUCGAACGCUGAAGCUCAGCUUUUGUUGGGUGGAUGAGUGGCGAACGGGUGAGUAACACGUGAGUAACCUGCCUCCUUCUUUGGGAUAACGCCCGGAAACGGGUGCUAAUACUGGAUAUUCACUGGUCUUCGCAUGGGGGUUGGUGGAAAGGGUUUUUCUGGUGGGGGAUGGGCUCGCGGCCUAUCAGCUUGUUGGUGGGGUGAUGGCCUACCAAGGCUUUGACGGGUAGCCGGCCUGAGAGGGUGACCGGUAACAUUGGGACUGAGAUACGGCCCAGACUCCUACGGGAGGCAGCAGUGGGGAAUAUUGCACAAUGGGCGCAAGCCUGAUGCAGCGACGCCGCGUGAGGGAUGGAGGCCUGCGGGUUGUGAACCUCUUUCGCUCAUGGUCAAGCCGCAACAAUGGUUGUGGUGAGGGUAGUGGGUAAAGAAGCGCCGGCUAACUACGUG
rnacentral:rRNA from 1 species